CGGCGGACGGGUGAGUAACGCGUGGGUAACCUGCCUCAUACAGGGGGAUAACAGUUGGAAACGGCUGCUAAUACCGCAUAAGCGCACAGUACCGCAUGGUACCGUGUGAAAAACUCCGGUGGUAUGAGAUGGACCCGCGUCUGAUUAGCUAGUUGGUGGGGUAACGGCCUACCAAGGCGACGAUCAGUAGCCGACCUGAGAGGGUGACCGGCCACAUUGGGACUGAGACACGGCCAA
rnacentral:rRNA from 1 species